GCGCCCGUAGCUCAAUUGGAUAGAGCAUUUGACUACGGAUCAAAAGGUUGGGAGUUCGAGUCUCUCCGGGCGCG
rnacentral:tRNA from 1 species